CCAGGGGCCGUGGUCGUGGCGGCGGGGGAAGGGGAGGGCCCGACAUGAAGGGCGGGAGAAAGGUGGUCGUGGUGCCGCACAAGCACGACGGCGUCUUCAUCACCAAGGCCAAGGAGGACCCGCUCUGCACCAAGAACAUGGUCGUCGGGUAGUCCGUCUACGGCGCGAAGAGCGUCUUCGUCCAGGUUUGAAGCUUAUCUUGCUGGGGGAUGUUUGAGAUUUUCUACACAAAAGGGCACCUAAAGAUGUUGAACUGAUCCGUACUGCAAGGCUCAUGCAUGUUUUGGCUCAUGCAGAUAUCACAUGUGUUUCUUUUUGCAAAUUCUCAGAUGCCAUUGUUCCAUUGAACUGAUUGUUUGCAGACUGAUUGUCUGCAAAUUCUCACAUGUGUUGAACUGAUUGUUUGCAGACUAAAAAUUUGUUUUUCAAUUAUGUUCAUCAAGUGAUUCCAAUGUGCCAUGAUAAGAUGCGCAACUCAACAUUUGAGGUUUCUUACUCAUAGGAUUAUCACAUCUUGAAUUCUGGUUCUUAGAGUUUUUGUUUCCAACCCUUAUUUGCUUGUCUUGUCUUUUGUUCUUACGGGUUUCAAUCUUCAUCACACAUCUUCUGUAGGAAAUCUUGUACUUAAAAUGUAGAAAAAUGUCCCUAACUUUGUUGUAAUGCUUGUAUGGCAGCCUAUUCUGUAAUCUGUUCAAUUACAGAGUUUAUGAUCAUGUGAAUGAAGCAAGGGAUCUGAGAAAAAAGGUAAUAGCACUUUACUUCCCAGGCAGAUUUGACAUAUCCUCGUUUACUUCCCUCUUCUCUUCUGACUAACUCCUUAAAUCAUCAACAUGUGUGUACAGUUAUUCCUGCCCAUGUUUAUGUCAAGGAGCAUCACCGUAUGUGUUCAAGAAAUGCCAUUGAUUGUAUUAUCAUUAUUAUCUGUCACAAAUUUGGAUUCUAAAUUCUUUCAGAAUUCGAUUAUCUUGGAUUGAGACCUGCUGCACUGAGCGUAAGUAGAUUUAAGGAGAUUGAUAUUGAAAAUAGUUGGCUUCAUUAUGCAAUUGACUGAAAACAACUGUACUUUCACCUCGAGCUACUAAAAUGAUGCUCCUUCAUUAGAAUUCUAUCAUGUUAUCUCACCUUUUGGUCAGAAAAAUGAAAAAAAAAUGCAUCUUCGGUAUUUAGUUUGACACCUAUUUGUUUUCUUUCCAGCUUCAUCAUGUGCUUCCGAAAUAGGUAUCUUCAACCUCAAUUUGAUCAUACACUUUUCUCCCUUAUUGUUAAAAUCAUCGCCACUAAUGUUUUCAGCUGUCGUCUUUCAAGUUGCACAGUGUUGAUGAAUUCAAAUUGUAUGCAGCCCUGACAUCUACAAUUUGGCAGUCAGAUGGUGAUCUGAAACUUAAAAUGGAGCAAAUGGCCAUGAGCUCUAAUAAAUAUGAGGUUUUCUAUCACAACAUACCUCAGCUGCAGCGAAAAGACAACAGAGCCAUGGGUGCCGAGGGCGGGCACUGGUGGUCGGCAGAAGGCACUGUGGAGGUGCUCGCUGCUUCCCGGCUCUACUUGCACGCCACCAGGUUCAGAAUUGGCAUGGACCUGGGCGCCGCCGCCUUUGCAGCUGCUCCCCGCUGCUCAGCUGCUCCCCGUGCACAUAAUUUAUUUUGUAGAGGAAGAAUAUGGUAACUUAAACAAUAUUACAUGUGAUGCCAUGUCACUGCAGUGAAGCAUUCUUUUUGACUAGCAGUGAAUAGGGUUACAGUUAGUGAAUAGGGUUACAGUUUGUGAACUGAGAUGUUUGUGUAGUUGCUGCACUUUUACAACUACUUCUGAUUAGUUGCGGAUGCAAUGAUGUUUAGCUUAUGUGGAAUAUUUUUGACUAGAAUCCUUGAUUGUGUAGUUGUUGCAUUUUUUUAACUUGAUUUAUUCAUGCUUCAUACACACCGGAGACAAUUUCAUCUAAGAAAAAUCAAGUUCUGAUUUGAAAAAUAAUAAUUAAGUUCUUGGCACAAUUAACAUUGGAUGACCUGCCUUGCUAUAUGUGUUAGUUAGGCUGGAUGGAGUAGGAUUAGUUAGUGGAUCAGACCCCGGAUUAUAUGUCCCCUUUUAUUGUGUACUAUAGUUUGAGAGUUUUCUGCAGAACUGAUGCUAUAACUUCAUAAACUACAGUUACAUGUAUAUCCGAGUCUGAAUCAGAUAAGUAACAGUGCUCAUGUGUAUUUAUGUAUCAAGAUUCACAUUUCCUUUAAUAGUUACUAAAGUUUGUUUUAUGGUAGGAAAACACAUACUCUAAAGCAGUAAAACGUUUCGAGUUCGAUGCUUAGCUUUGAAGUACUGUGGUUUAUAUGUCCCCUUUUAUUGUGUACUAUAGUUUGAGAGUUUUCUCCAGAACUGAUGCUAUAACUUCAUAAACUACAAUUACAUGUAUAUCCGAGCCUGAAUCAGAUAAGUCACAGUGCUCAUGUGUAUUUAUGUAUCAAGAUUCACAUUUCCUUUAAUAGUUACUGAAGUUUGUUUUAUGGUAGGAAAACACAUACUCUAAAGCAGUAAAACGUUUCGAGUUCGAUGAUCAGCUUGGACACUACAAUUUGGAUUCUUUUGGAGACUGGGAACAACUUUCAAGCUACUUGUCACAAAGUUUCAUUGAACGCCUUGAGCCAACUAGUGGAGAAAUUACAAUUGCAUUGGAGACAUCAUGGUUGGAUAGAGCUCCCCAAACAGAUAUGGAGAGAUGAUUGAUAGAACAACUUAGAGAAGACAAAUUUGCAAAGAAAGGGUUUGUACAGUCUGAGAGGAGAGGAUGCUAUUACACAACUAUUCCCGCUUCGGUUAAGCAUAGAAACAUUUAUGCGGAUGAGGCAGGUGUGGAGAUCGGAGGGGAGGAUGGGGACGUGCUCACGAAGCCUUAAAGAAACAUGAGCUCAUGGGUGCCGACCUCCAUCACCCCCCAUGAUGCUAUGCAGAGUGAAGGCGAAGAGCUAGUGGGGAGGACACCAACUGCCUCUUCGUAAAUUUACUCCGCGUCAUCGUUCAUGUGGACGAGGCCGGAAGAACCGAAGGCGUUGGCGGAAUUUGAGGAGGACGAGACGACAGGGAUGAUGAUGGCAUCAUUGUUGUUUGUAAUUGAGAGCAUCACGGUGGUGAGUACUGCGUGUGGGGGAGGAAGGAGGUGAGUCGGCUGGGUGCACUCCUACUGGUGCUAUCGAUGGCGGCACUAUGCUUCAGCCUUGUAGCGGCAAUGUUGGAGGCAACGAAUGGUAGUGUGCUAUUGCUCGCAUGGUUUAGAUUCUGCCAGCCACUGGGUGCACAACUAGGUGACAUUCCUGGAAGGGAUGUGCUACAUGCCUGACUGUGAUGGCGAUCGCGUCUACUACGUAUGUUUCAUCACAGCAGCAGUUCGAGCACAUUGACCGAUUCAACCCCAAUGAUCACUACGCCAAGCCCAACCUCGUCUUCUUCAUACUUGUGUGCCCUUUAGGGUCCCAUGUAUGUCUGGCACGAGUUGCAUAUAGGUUUAGUCAGCCUGUAGCGUGCCUACGUGCACCAGUGUUGGAUUGGAGGAAGAAGGUCAAGUUGUUCGAGAAAGCCCAACCAUGGGGAACAAGACACAUAAGGAGAGUGACCAAUGAGAGGA